UACGUAGGGUGCGAGCGUUGUCCGGAAUUAUUGGGCGUAAAGGGCUCGUAGGCGGUUUGUCGCGUCGGGAGUGAAAACACCGGGCUUAACUCGGUGCUUGCUUUCGAUACGGGCAGACUAGAGGCAUGCAGGGGAGAACGGAAUUCCUGGUGUAGCGGUGAAAUGACGCAGAUAUCAGGAGGAACACCGGUGGCGAAGGCGGUUCUCUGGGCAUGUCCUGACGUGAGGAGCGAAAGUGUGGGGGAGCGAACAGG
rnacentral:rRNA from 1 species